rnacentral:miRNA from 1 species
AGACAGCUACAGUGUACUCAUAUGUGUGUAUGUGUGUUUGUGUGUGUGUACAUACAUAUAUGUAUAUAUAUAUAUAGAGAUGUAUACAUAUACAUAGAUAUAUACACAUAUA